AUUGAACGCUGGCGGCAGGCUUAACACAUGCAAGUCGAGCGGGGUGAUGGUGCUUGCACUAUCACUUAGCGGCGGACGGGUGAGUAAUGCUUAGGAAUCUGCCUAUUAGUGGGGGACAACAUCUCGAAAGGGAUGCUAAUACCGCAUACGUCCUACGGGAGAAAGCAGGGGAUCACUUGUGACCUUGCGCUAAUAGAUGAGCCUAAGUCGGAUUAGCUAGUUGGUGGGGUAAAGGCCUACCAAGGCGACGAUCUGUAGCGUGUCUGAGAGGAUGAUCCGCCACACUGGGACUGAGGAACGGCCCAGACUCCUACGGGAGGCAGCAGUGGGGAAUAUUGGACAAUGGGGGGAACCCUGAUCCAGCCAUGCCGCGUGUGUGAAGAAGGCCUUAUGGUUGUAAAGCACUUUAAGCGAGGAGGAGGCUCUUUUGGUUAAUACCCAAGAUGAGUGGACGUUACUCGCAGAAUAAGCACCGGCUAACUCUGUGCCAGCAGCCGCAGUAA
rnacentral:rRNA from 1 species